rnacentral:lncRNA from 1 species
UCGGAGUGAGUAGCAUAUAAAAAUUAAGUUAGGGACUAUGCUUGCAAACGGUCUAAAUUCACACUCAAAUGUAGCAAGCCACAAACUAAUUAAGGAUAGUACAUAUGCAUGGUUCGUCUCUGUCAAUGGAGGAAAAAAAAGAGAUAAACAUGAACAAAUUUAAACAAGCAGUAUUGCUAACAACACAUUUUCUUCUGCAUGUAAAGUGGUGGUAAGUGGUAAACAUAAGCCCUCCUAGCUAAGGGUCUUUAGGAUAUUAAUAAUUCACCAAUUUAGUCUUCAGCUCUUGGUUAUUUGCCCUCAAUUCAUUUACCUGGGUUAUAAGUGUCAGAAAGUUACAAUAUUAAUAGGGUGUCAGAAAAAUGGAUCAAAAUAAUUAAUCGCUAGCUAAUUAAAAUGUUUCUCCUGAAUUAUUUGGAGAAUAUUAUAUAUACUGAAACUUUAUAUGCCUCUAUACAUAUGUAUUCAUGAAGAAUAAAUCACUAGAACUAAAUAUUACACUUUUGGCAAAAUGUAUAGAAGGUGUCAGACCCGCGGGCCAAGGGACAGUCUCAGGUAGACAGUUUCUAUGGGGUAUAGGCCUCCCAAAAGUUAACGGAGGCGUGUGUGUGUAUAUAUAUAUAUAUAUAUAAAAUACUGAGAGCUAUAUAGUCUUUACUCCCGCAUGCAUGGAUAUUUUAAUGUUUAGGACAUAAACUUAUAAGAUUUUAUAAACUUAUUAUAAUAUAAACAUAAUGGUCAUAACUAUAUAUAAGAUUUUGACUGAAUAAAAUUAUCAUAAACAUCAAAUAUUUAAGACUAGAGGAAUAAUUAUGUCACUAGUACUAUGUUUGGACAAUAUUCCCUCUAAUUUGAUAAUUCUUAUUAUUUUAAACAACAAUAUGGUCAUUUUAAAUAUACAUUUAACUGUGAUUUUCUAUUAAUAUAUAUAAUAAAUAAAUGUUUGAUUUUAUGAAAGUACUCUUUAUAACUCAUAUACACUCAUUGUCCUAGUGUUUUUUAACUAAAUAUUUAAAAAUUGUUAAUUGUUAAACUUCUAAAGUUUGAUCAUAUUCUUAUCCAAAAGGAUAAAAAUUAUGGAACUGGACAAUGUUUUAAGCGUUUAAUUGAUGUUCCACACUACACGAGGGUAUCAUAUCUAUAAAAAAAAGGUGGCCAACCGGCCGGCCAUGACCAGCCGUACGUUGGCUCAUAGGUAAGUAGCGUACAUAUCAAAAUGUAGUACUAUUUUCUAUCAAUUCCACGUACAGUGCAGCUCUGCAGCAAACAGUUUUUUUUCUUUCUUGAAACAAAUGUUAUGAAGAAGAGACGGCUACGGCGCUGUUUGAAUCCAGUGACAGUCACUUAUUAAUUAGGAGUAUUAAAUUUAGAUUGAUAACAAAACUAAUUAUAUAAAUAAAGACUAUUUUAUUAGACAAAUUGUUUAAGCCUAAUUAAUCCACGAUUAGUAAAUGUUUACUGUAGCAUCACAUUCGCUAAUUAUGGACUAAUUAGGCUUAAUAGAUUUGUCUCAUGAAAUAGUCCAGAAUAUAAAGUGGAUUUUACUAAUAGACUAUAUUUAAUAUUUCUAAUUAGUGUCUAAACAUUCGAACAUUCAUGUGACAAGUACUUUUAAAAAAAAAGUUGAUAGUAUCCAAACACCCCCUACGUAUAUCUAUACAUUUUCUGUAACAUACAUAUAUAGACAUCAACUGUACGUACGUGCACUGUGUGGCAUGAAAUGCCGAGUAAGCAUAUCAGAAUUCCGUAGUAAUUAAUUUAGUUUGUCCACCGCGCAGAGUACUAUUAGAAUACGCUCUUACACAUUCAUUGUUCCAAAUUAAAAUUCACUUUGUAGUGACCUGUUCUAAAAUCAUGCAAACAGUGUACUGUUUAUACGUAAUGACUAAUGACACUAGCCACCAAUUAAAAUAUAUGUAGUCAUGCCAAGGCUCACCACUCUUAUUUUUCACUUCUGCCUAUGUUUAUAAACUAAAUUUUAAAUUUUUAAUCUUACAUUUACUGUUAAUUUUAGAGUUUUCUCAUCGUAUUUUAUUUUUCUUCAUUUGAUUUUUAGAUCAUAAAAACACAUAGAUAAAAAUUUUAUUUAUAAAUUAUUUUUCGUUUGCUACACGUGCUGAGGCAUGUACGGUGACCGUCUUUUUAUUGAAAAAUGACUGGUUUUGAUAUUGUACCAAAAGUGAACCUGGAUACUAAUUCAAAGAUAUGUAGAUGGGGGAUAUACACACACACCCUUUUUAUGUAUAUCCUACCUAGGGCAUCCAAACGGUAUGCCAAUGUUUUUCUCUCCUCCACUGUAGGGAAUUAAUAGUAGUAUCUAUGAAGGCAAGCAUGCAUGCAUCACAUAGUUUAGCAAUCUAGCUAGCUAAAUUUCACAUAGCUAACUUGAUUAGCAUUUCAUUUCAUUAAUUAACAAAAGUUCACAAAUAUGAAUGAAAAGUAAAAUAUCCGCGGAUACAUAAUAUAUCUACAUGGAAAGGUAUUUUAUUACUCUGUUAGGAUAUCCACUCCUUUCUUGCAAAGUCACCUAAAUAGUCAUUAUUUUUUAAAAAAAUUGAUAAGAUAAAUUAAUAUAAGAUAUAUCACUCCACACAAGUUUAAAUUCGACUUCUGCUAGUUUUAUUUUAAAUUGUUUUUGUUACGACUUGUACAUGUCGAAUUUGAACUUGCAUGUUUGUAGAGAUAGUAUGUUAAUCUAUCUUAUCCUUUCUUUAAAAAGUUCUAAAUAAUUAUUUAUAUGACAUGUAAAUAAUUUGUGGAUAUCCAACUAAAUGAUGAAAACCCAUCUCCAUAUCUACAUGCAUAGUAAGAGAGGUAUUGAGGUACAGAGAAAAAAUCUAGUAUGCAUAUAAUCACAGAAUUAAGAAAACCUAAUGCGCGCAUUCUUUGGGUGCAAAUUAAGCCGAAUUAAUAGAAACAAACCUGCCCACGGAUCGAAGUUGAACAGGCCNN